CAUGUAAGGGAGAAGCAUUGACUGGUUGCCUUCCAUGCACUCCUGGACCAGGGAUCUUACACAUCCAGACUGGGGAUUCCAUGCACCCAUGCCUGGACCAGAAAUCAAACUGAAACCCAGUCAUGUCACUCUGUGUGGAGUGAUAUCUCAUUGUAGCUGGAAUUGCUCUUCCCUGAAGAAUAAGGCUAUUCAGCAUCUUCCCAUAUGUCAAUGGGCCAUUUGUUCAUAUUCUUUAGACAAAUGUCUAUUUAAAUCCUUAUCCCAUAUUUUAAUUGAAUUAUUUGUAUUUUAUUGUU